rnacentral:rRNA from 1 species
UACGUAGGGAGCAAGCGUUGUCCGGAUUCACUGGGUGUAAAGGGUGCGCAGGCGGACUUGUAAGUCAGGGGUGAAAUCUCACGGCUUAACCGUGAAACUGCCUUUGAUACUGCAGGUCUUGAGUUCGGGAGAGGUUGAUGGAAUUCCAGGUGUAGCGGUGAAAUGCGUAGAUAUCUGGAAGAACACCAGUGGCGAAGGCGGUCAACUGGCCCGUAACUGACGCUCAGGCACGAAAAGCGUGGGGAGCAAACAGGG